rnacentral:tRNA from 1 species
GCGAGUGUGGCGGAACUGGCAGACGCACUAGACUUAGGAUCUAGCGUCUUACGACGUGCAGGUUCGAUUCCUGUCACUCGCACCA